rnacentral:rRNA from 1 species
GACGAACGCUGGCGGCGCGCUUAACACAUGCAAGUCGAACGGAAAGGCCUGCUUUCCCUUGUGGAUUGCGGGUACUCGAGUGGCGAACGGGUGAGUAACACGUGAGUGAUCUGCCCCCAACUUGGGUAUAAGCCUGGGAAACUGGGUCUAAUUCCCGAUAGGACUGCAGGGUGGUGGCUGUGGUGGGAAACGAUUUUCUAGUGGUUGGGGAUGAGCUGGCGGCCUAUCAGCUUGGUGGUGGGGUAAUGGCCUGCCAAGGCGGCGACGGGUAGCCGGCCUGAGAGGGUGGACGGCCACAUUGGGACUGAGAUACGGCCCAGACUCCUACGGGAGGCAGCAGUGGGGCAUAUUGCACAAUGGGCGGAAGCCUGAUGCAGCGACGCCGCGUGGGGGAUGACGGCCUUCGGGUUGUAAACUCCUUUCGACCGCGAGGAAGCCACCUGGUUGGAAGGGUGGUGACGGUAGUGGUAGAAGAAGCACCGGCUAACUACGUG